GUAUCUAUUAAUUUUUUUUUCCGGGAUCGAUCAAAACAAAGCUAAGAUCCCGACGACAUGUUCUUCUGAUUCCCAAUCAAAACUAAGAAAAUGAGUGCAGAUCGUAAGGGAAAAACGGUAAAUAUAAAGCUUAUGUUUUUGCGAAUCUUUAGGUUUUGUUUUAUUUCUAUAAAGCUUCUGUUAUAGAAGUUCUUUAGGUUUUGAUAAAUUUCUUAGAUAUUGAUUGUUGGCGAUCUACAUCAUGUAGAACGGGAGCACGGGUGAAGCUAAGAAACUUACUAUAGAAGAUCUGUUUAUAAAAACAUGUCUUAACACACUGGCUUCGGAGGAAAAUAUAUACAGAGAACAUCGAAGAAGGUUUGAGAUCGUCAGAGUGUACAUGUGUUUGCAAAUUCAGCUCUUGGCGGGCCUUGAAGAAUCUGUCAUUGGUAGAAGGAUUGUUCAUUCGUGAGCAAAAUAAAAAUGUUUCUGAUUUUCGUUAAUUGUUUAUUUAGUUUCUUUGUGUGUAUAUUAAUUGGAAUUGGCAUAACAGCUUCUGUAUAAUUCCUGCAAACAUAGAAGAAGUUUAUUGGAGCUAUAAUGGAGUUGGUAGAUUGGGAAGUUCUAUCAAAGGAGUGUGAUGAGGUUGCUUUUACAGAGAAUCGUCUCUUUGGCAAGGCAGUGGAGCAGGAAGAAAGUGAUAUUCGUGAUCAGAGCCCAACUAAGUUGAGAAGAAGUAAGUAGGGGUGGUUUUUAAUUUCUGUAUUUACUUAUUUAUCAAAGUUGCAGAGAUUACUAUAUUGUAUACUUUUCUAGUGUGUUGAGCUGUUGUUUUUUUUUGUUUAUAAUGAAAACAUGUUGGUGAAGGAACGACCAGAAGCUAUGAAGAAAGAAGUUUCUCUCCCACGUUGAGCAAGCGCAUCCAAACAACAACUCACGGUUAGUAACUAUGAUCUUAACUCAGAUGAAAGCAAUGUAGUAGCAUGUAGAUUUAGGAAUAAGAUUGAACCAUUGCCUUAGAUAGUAUUAUAUGGCUUUAGGAUUGAUUGAAUAACGAUGCAUAUAUGGGUUCUUGUGAAUGAAUGUGUUAUAAAUAACAAAGACGUUCAAAAAUAUUUCACUUAAGUAUCUAUACUAUUAAAGCAGGAUUCUGCCCUUGCCUUUGGAAAAAAUUACAAAGCUAUGUCAUUCUUUAAUUUUAGUUUUACAUAAUUAAUUAAUAUUACCUAAUGUUACUGUUUAUGUUAUUAGAGAAUAUUCUGAAAUACAGAAAAGUAAGAUUUAGACUCCAACAAUAAACGUUUAAUGAAUACAUUAACUAUACAAAAUAUUAUUCAGAAAUAAUCCACCUCUACCAAAUCGUUAGUUUAAAGUUUAAACUACCAACCCAAUAUUAAAAUAACCCGUAAUCAUGUUGAUAAGUUGAGCUAAUGUGCUGCCAAAAAAAAAAAAAAAGUUGAGCUAAUGUGGACGACCAAUCAAUAAGUGUAUUUUUAAUAAUGAUAAUAAGUGCAUUUUAUAUACAACUAGGAUCGGCCCGGGCUACGCCCGGGUUUUUUGUUUGAAUUUUAAUUUUAAUUAUAUAUUUAGUAUGUUUAUUUUAAUAUAUAAAUAUUAUAAUCUAUUACACAAAUAUAAGUAGCUCGAUAAUUAAAAAAUAAUUUUAAAUUAUUCAUUGUUUUUUUUCUUAUGCAAAUCCAAAUUUUGUAUUCAAUUUUUUAUUGAAAAUUAUAUAUAAAAUGAUGAGUAGAAUGAAAAAAAAAUAAUUAAAUUUUAGUUAUGGUGUUUAAUUGGCUGAAUUGUAGACAUGUUUCAUUUAUAACUUUUUUUUUCAAUUUGUCUCUGAGUAAUUUAAUGGACCCUCUUCUUAAAUCUACAAUAUAUAUUUUUGUGAUUUUUUUCUUAUAUCAUAUGUUUAAAAUUUUUAAUAUUAUCUUGAUCAAAAAACUUACAACUACUUAAAAAUUAUAGACUAAAUUCUUACAAUAAAUUUUUUCCAUUUACAACGCACUUAAUUAGACUCGUUAUCUAAAUAUUAUUUAUCUUACUUAUAUAAGUUUUGUUAUAAAAUAUUGUUAAAUGUACAACUAAUUAAAUAUUAUUUUUCUCAGUUACUGCCUUAUGCUUUUCAGUUGUUCCAUUUGUUCAAAAGUCAAAAAGCAAAUCAUAUUUCUAGACAAAAAUAUGUCUGGUGGGUACCAAACGCAGCUUGGCUCAAGACUUGUCUCGAGGUUAGACUCACUGCCGAGACAGUAACGGAGGAGUAUUAUGAUAUAGAAAGAAACAAAUGAAAAGUUCCUAACUCAUGCCUGGACUUAGGUUCUAGUGAAAACGCAUGAUAUCAAAUGUGUAUAGCUCAUUCACAAACAAAUCCUAGGUGAGAUAUACUUUUACUUUGCUACUACUGAAGCAAAAAGUUCUUGUAUGAAAUUUGGUUGAAGAUGUAAAUAGAGCGCAUAAGGUACUUGUCUUUACUGCAUAGUGUUAGAGGAAUGUGUAUAAUAUUUAUUCUGAAGGCUAUUUUAAUUA